AUGCCCUGUAAGGACAUGAAGAGGAAACUGUGACAAAAGGAGCUAUGCGCCUCACACAGCUGGAUUAAAAAGAGCACAGAUGGACAGCAAGUGGAGAGUGAUAGAUGAGAUGAGGAGAUGGAAGCAGGAAGACAGGCAAAGAUCUCAGAUCAACACAGCCCUGCCCUCCAGCAUUCUCAGCAGCAGGAGCAGCAGUGACCACUCAACAGCAACAUUGUACCCCAUCAGGUAAAACGUAGGCUGUGUUUGCUUCACAUUGUCCCCACCUGAUGACAGUAAUGAAGACUGUGUCCAAAUUCAUUUGAAGGAUGCUUCAAAUGCCGUAUUUGUCACAGCGACGCGACAAAGCCUGUCCAAAUUCAAAGAGUCCUCCAAAUGUGGUGACAAAUGCGUCCUUCAUUUCCUCGAAUUUUAAAGAUGGGUAGGCUGUAUCCUUCGUGUUCUACCAUAUCCCAGGAUUCAUUGCAGGCCAUACAGGAGAUUUUUGUCUGAUAACGAUGGCGGACGAAGUGUGAGUUAAUGCGGCAAAGGCAAACAAAUGUAAGUAUAUGAAAAUCUGGUGGUACAAAAGUUAAAUUUUAUAUAGCGGUUGUGUUGUUAAGCUUUGGGCAUCUACAUAGACAUGUUUUCUUUUAUUAAAUUAAUUUUAAACUAGCUUGUAUGGU